rnacentral:rRNA from 1 species
CACACCGCCGUCACGCCAUGGAAGUGGCGAGGCGCCGAAGUCCGUGUCGGAACCCGCAAGGGACCAAGCGGCCGAAGGCGAGCGUCAUGACUGGGGCG